AGUGAACGCUGGCGGUAGGCCUAACACAUGCAAGUCGAACGGCAGCACAGUAAGAGCUUGCUCUUACGGGUGGCGAGUGGCGGACGGGUGAGGAAUACAUCGGAAUCUACUUUUUCGUGGGGGAUAACGUAGGGAAACUUACGCUAAUACCGCAUACGACCUACGGGUGAAAGCAGGGGAUCUUCGGACCUUGCGCGAUUGAAUGAGCCGAUGUCGGAUUAGCUAGUUGGCGGGGUAAAGGCCCACCAAGGCGACGAUCCGUAGCUGGUCUGAGAGGAUGAUCAGCCACACUGGAACUGAGACACGGUCCAGACUCCUCCGGGAGGCAGCAGUGGGGAAUAUUGGCCAAUGGGCGCAAGCCUGCUCCAGCCAUACCGCGUGGGUGAAGAAGGCCUUCGGGUUGUAAAGCCCUUUUGUUGGGAAAGAAAAGCAGCAGGUUAAUACCCCGCUGUUCUGACGGUACCCAAAGAAUAAGCACCGGCUAACUUCGUG
rnacentral:rRNA from 1 species